rnacentral:rRNA from 1 species
UACGAAGGGGGCUAGCGUUGCUCGGAAUCACUGGGCGUAAAGGGUGCGUAGGCGGGUCUUUAAGUCAGGGGUGAAAUCCUGGAGCUCAACUCCAGAACUGCCUUUGAUACUGGACGAUCUUGAGUUCGGGAGAGGUGAGUGGAACUGCGAGUGUAGAGGUGAAAUUCGUAGAUAUUCGCAAGAACACCAGUGGCGAAGGCGGCUCACUGGCCCGGUA